UACAGAGGUCUCAAGCGUUGUUCGGAUUCAUUGGGCGUAAAGGGUGCGUAGGCGGCGCGGUAAGUCGGGUGUGAAAUCUCGGGGCUUAACUCCGAAACUGCAUUCGAUACUGCCGUGCUUUGAGGACUGGAGAGGAGACUGGGAAUUUUACGGUGUAGCGGUGAAAAUGCGUAGAUAUCGUAAGGGAAGACCAGUGGCGAAGGCGGGUCUCUG
rnacentral:rRNA from 1 species